UGUAGGAGCUGCCGAAGGCUGCGAUCUUUUGAUCUUGAUCUUUAACAGCAACAUCAAAAGAUCGCAGCCUUCGGCAGCUCCUACA
rnacentral:misc_RNA from 1 species